rnacentral:lncRNA from 1 species
CAAAAGGUUAUGAGGGGAGAUGAGGGGAGAGAGAGAGAAACCCCUUUCUCUUCCUCAAAAUAGGAGAUGUCCCCUUUUCUCCCUCUCUCCCAAAGAUGGUAGAAAAAGGCUAGGGCCGGCGACCUACGGCGGCAUCCGGCGACCAUUGGUGGUGUCCGGGAUGAUAGCGGUGGUGGCAAGUAGUGGCGACGGCGGCAAUGACCAGCUGAAGAGAAACAAAGACAGAAGAAAAUCAAGAAAAAACAAGAGGCUGGACUUCGUUCGGAACUUGGAUCACCUGCCGGCGACUGAGGCCUAUUCACACGAGUCUAGGAGAGCACCCAAAAAGUUUGGUCGGAGAUCCGAUCGGCCAUUAAAGGGAAUCAAAGGUUGGUAGGACGGGUUCCUUUUUGCUGCCUUGAAAUCCGGCGAUCUACCAUUGAGAUCCCGGCCGGUGAUGAUGGCUCGGUGGAGGCGAGGCCAAAGGAGGGUAGGGGCUUGGUACCAUAUCUCCGGUGAGGUGAGGCCCUAAACAGGAUAAGAUGGCGAACCUUUGACCCCUCAAGAGGGGAUCUUGCGUUUUAUAGACGGUGGAGGCUUAGGUUUGAUUUUUUGGUUUGAAUGCUUCAAGAGUAGUGCGAAAGGUAUUAUAUCAGGACGGGUCCUUGCAAGGUGAUCACUGGUCUCCGUGCUGUCUCCAUGGAAUGUGCGACUAUUGUUUGCGAGCCAUCCCUUCCCAAGUAGAUUAGUUUUUAUUGGGAUUUUAUUGUUGACACUCAACCAAGCCAACAAUUCGGCUUUCUCUAGUACCCAUAUUUUCCAAUAUAGUAGAGCUAAUGAACUGUCUUAUUCCUCCAUCUUGAAGAAAAUAGUAAUAUUUUCUUGUUGUGAAUUCAUGAGCACUGAACCAUUUCCAUGCUAUUGUAUCAGGUUGCUCCGUCAAACCUUAAUUUGAAGAAAGUAAUAUUUUCCACACCUUGAAGCAAGCCUUAUGAUGUGAUGAUCUAUCUGUUGUCUCGUAAACUAGUCUGGCCAUGCCAGGGCCACAGACUUGAAAACAAAUUGGAAGAACUGGGGAAAUUUUAGGAACGAACAGUCAGUACUCCAUUCACCCACUUUCCACAAGAC